GAAACACGGACCAAGGAGUUCAACUGGAUUGCGAGUCGUUGAGUUAUUCACAAAACUCUGCGGCAAAGCGAAAGCAAAAUGGUGUGAAGUAUGUAUUUUUUUAAUAUAUACUGCAACACAAGCUGAUUACGGAUAUACGUAGAGCUUCGGCUGUGCGUAUACCUGAAUUAAAAAAAAUUUAUUUUUUUUUGAUACAGGAUUAAUCAAGCUUAAGAGCAUUUUAGUUGAGACCCGAAAGAUGGUGAACUAUGCUCGGACAUGGUGAAGCCAGGUGAAAACUUGGUGGAAGCUUGCGUUGUGCGGAACUGACGUGCAAAUCGUUGCCGCCAGACCUGAGUAUAGGGGCGAAAGACUCAUCGAACCAUCUAGUAGCUGGUUCCCUCCGAAGUUUCCCUCAGGAUAGCUCGAAUUUAUUUAUUCGUAUAUUUUAUACGAGUAACACAAGGGUAAAGCAAUGAGACGCGGUAUCUGUGGGUCUUAUUUAAAUGACCUCGGCCUUCUCUCAAACUUUAAAUCUGUGCGAAUAUAUGUGCUUACUUUAAAAAAUUUUAUUUAUUUAAAAUUUGUGAAGCCAUAUUUAUUGUAUCAAAAAUUCGUAGUGGGCCAUUUCUGGUAAGCAGAACUGGCGAUGAGGGAUUCAACCUGACGUUCUCAAGAUAAGCCGGGCUUAAUCAUAUCUGCUCCAACCUUCCGAUAAACGCGA
rnacentral:rRNA from 1 species